GAAUGUAGGCUAAAUGCUUCCAGGUUACUGUUCUGUGGUUACUGAGCAACCAUGAAGUCUUUGCCAGUCUCCCCCCACCCCACCACCCCAAUUAAUCUCCUUGCAUAAUAUCCAGUGAUCCAACCAUCUGGUCCCUCUGCUCCUCUCUGUCUUGUCUGUUCCAUCUUCUUUAGUGCCUCCUUCUCCUUUGGAGUCAGGUUCUCUCAGUGCUCCCCUCUAUGCAUGGUCUACUCCCUGCCUUCCCAUUCUGUCACUUCAGCUUAUCCUCCUUUAAUCCCUCCAGAAUUUUCUCUUUCCCUCACUGUUCCUCCUCUUGCAAUCUUAAUCACCUGAACUUUGGCAAAGCUAAGAUACUUGCUUACAGCACUGAUCUAUGCAGUAAGUGGAAUCAUGAAGAAAUUCAGGAUACCAGCUCUCCUGAUCCCACUGUAAAAUGAGAUUAUCUUCCUGGGCAGCAGCUUCCUUCUGACCUCCAAACUGUGAAAGAGCAGAGAGGGGCCAGAGACCACCCCAAGGACCCCUUAGGAGCCAGCCUUGGACUUCUCACCAGCCAAAGGUGGGAAUGGGACCUGCAUUAAUUUAGAUUUCUGUAGCAGGUAGGAACAAAAAUCAAGUCUAAGUAGUUUAUGUGGAAAGAAGACUUCUUGGAUGAGUACCUAGAAUAUGUCACAGAGUCUAAAGAAGAGUUGAACAGCCACUUUUCAGGAAGUGUGGGGACUAGUGUGGUUCUGGGGACCUCAGAGUAGUGAUAGCCUUACUUUCAGAGACCUACUGUUAAACAGACUCAGUUUUCAAAGAUUUCCAGUCUCUGGGUCUCUAGUCCAUAUUUUAUAUUCACCAUGGAGAGGCUCUAAUUGCCUAACCUGUGCUAGAUAGCCAUUCUUACUAAUUAUGGCCACUUGGAUGGAGUCAAGUAACAAAAAGAUGGCUACCAGAAAUCACUCCUGUGGAGAGCUCAAUCGGUUCUGUGAAAAGUUAAUAUAAUAAGCUUAUGCUAUUUAUCUAUUGAUGUCAUUACUCUUUAACAAACCUCGGGAAUCAAGAUAGCAUUCCUUAAAAAUAGAAGAAAACUCAUCAUUCUCUGAGGCAUUAAUGUUGGUUUCAGAUCUUUAGGGAAUCUCUAUUAUUUCCAAAAAAUAAUGGGCCAUCAAAUCCCACACUAUUAGUGUAUCCAUUAUGUAUUGCUGCAUAACUAAUCAUGCCAAAACUUAGUUGCUUAAAGCAACAUUUAUUUUUAUUUGCUCAUCAUUUUGUGGGUCACUAAUUUGGGAUGAGCUUAGCUGAGCUGUUCUUCUACUGAUAUCAUCUAGAGUCACUCAUGUGGCUUAGUUAUCCAUAGGUUCAAAUGGGGCUGGAUAGCCCAAAGUGGUUUCAUUCAUUUACCUGCCAUUUGGUGUUGGCUGUUGGCUCCUUUCACCAUGCCCUUAUUCCUCAAGCAGGAGAGUCAGGCUUCCUCACAUGACAUCACUGUGUUCCAAGAAGCAUCUUGAGGCCUGGACUUGAAAGUUUCACUAUAUUACAUCACUGCAUUCUCCUGUUUAAAGCAAAUCACAAGAUCAGUUGAGACUCAAGGGCAGGGGAAAUAGACUAUAUGUCUUUCUACAGGAAGGAUGGCAAAGUCAUGAGCAUACAGGGAUAAGAGGUUUUUGUAGCUAUCUUUGCAAAUAAUCUGUCAUGCCUGGGACCUGUCUGCAUUAAAACAAAAGCAGAACCUUAAAACAUCCAAGAAUUUAUUUUAUUUUUUUAAAUUUUUAAAUUUGUUUAUGAUAGUCACACACAGAGAGAGAGGCAGAGACAUAGGCAGAGGGAGAAGCAGGCUCCAUGCACCAGGAGCCAGANUACUGCAGCCACUGUUGGGUGCUUGGAGUGACCGGUGUACCUCAAGGUUUGGAAGGAGACGCCCUUUCAUUCUUGUCCUGGCUAUAGGUCUGUUGUUUUGGAAUUGAAAUAAAGUGGAAAAAAAAAAAAGAAAAAAAAAGAAA
ensembl:lncRNA